UACGUAGGGUGCGAGCGUUUGUCCGGAAUUAUUGGGCGUAAAGAGCUCGUAGGCGGUGUGUCGCGUCGGCCGUGAAAACCUGCAGCUUAACUGUGGGCUUGCGGUCGAUACGGGCAUCACUGGAGUUCGGCAGGGGAGACUGGAAUUCCUGGUGUAGCGGUGAAAUGCGCAGAUAUCAGGAGGAACACCGGUGGCGAAGGCGGGGUCUCUGGGGCCGAUACUGACGC
rnacentral:rRNA from 1 species